rnacentral:rRNA from 1 species
GAUGAACGCUGGCGGCGUGCCUAAUACAUGCAAGUAGAACGCUGAAGGAGGAGCUUGCUCUUCUGGAUGAGUUGCGAACGGGUGAGUAACGCGUAGGUAACCUGCCUGGUAGCGGGGGAUAACUAUUGGAAACGAUAGCUAAUACCGCAUGACAACAGUUAUUGCAUGAUAACUGUUUAAAAGGGGCAACUGCUCCACUACCAGAUGGACCUGCGUUGUAUUAGCUAGUUGGUGAGGUAACGGCUCACCAAGGCGACGAUACAUAGCCGACCUGAGAGGGUGAUCGGCCACACUGGGACUGAGACACGGCCCAGACUCCUACGGGAGGCAGCAGUAGGGAAUCUUCGGCAAUGGACGGAAGUCUGACCGAGCAACGCCGCGUGAGUGAAGAAGGUUGUCGGAUCGUAAAGCUCGGUUGUAAGAGAAGAACGAGUGUGAGAGUGGAAAGUUCACACUGUGACGGUAUCUUACCAGAAAGGGACGGCUAACUACGUG